UACGUAGGGACCAAGCGUUGUUCGGAUUUACUGGGCGUAAAGGGCGCGUAGGCGGCGUGGUAAGUCAGUUGUGAAAUCUCCGAGCUUAACUCGGAACGGCCAACUGAUACUGCUGUGCUAGAGUGCAGAAGGGGCAAUCAGAAUUCUUGGUGUAGCGGUGAAAUGCGUAGAUAUCAAGAGGAGUACCUGAGGUGAAGACGGGUUGCUAGGCUGACACUGACGCUGAGGCGCGAAAGCCAGGGGAGCAAACGGG
rnacentral:rRNA from 1 species